AUGCAAGUGCUCAUGAAGCCUUUGAAGCCAGUCCAAGCUCCAAGAACCACAUUCCUUGUGAAGGAAUUGCUAUAUGUGCCAAGGACGAUCUACCGCAUUCUGACCAAAACCCUUAGACCAAUCAAAGGCCACAAAUCUGAAGAAGAAGAGGUUGUUGGCAUCAUGAAGAAUCUGCUAUUCAACAUCAUACAUGGCAUUCCCAUCAACUACCAUGAUUUCUUCAUGAGAACCGUGGCUAAUGCUGCUCUGUCACCUUUUAAGUUGAAGCCUUACGCUCCCUGGAUCAUGAAAUUCAUCAGAUCAAGGUCUUCAAUUCAUUACGAGGAACAUUGUCAAAAUCAUCUCAACUAUUUGCCUCAUAUUGAAGUCCUCAAAAGGACUAUUUCCUCAGCUGAUGAGAAAGGCAGAGCUGCUGUUAUUGAUGAAGGCACUCGUCCAUUGGAUGGUCAGUUUCGCAAAGCUGCAUCUUAUUCCACCAAUGAUAACUCUGCAACCCAAGACUCCGCCGCAAAAGCUUCAAAACCUAUUCCUCAAGCCACUGCUCCACGAGUGAUGACUGAUCGGGUGCUUCUUCUAAGUCUUCAUCAGAAGGUCGAUCGCAAUCACAAGUGGGUCAACAGUCAAUUUGGAUCAAUUCUUUAG
rnacentral:rRNA from 1 species